UUUCAAGCCUACGCGCUUCAAUAGAAAAGAAUAAGAAAAAAUAUACAGAGAGAAUGAAAAAAAAAACUUGCAGAUUUCAGCGAUAGAUAGAUAAAUAGAUAGAUAGAUAGAUAGAUAGAUAGAUAGAUAGAUAGAUAGAUAGAUAGAUAGAUAGAUUCUUAAGGUAGCUAAAUGCCUCGUUAUCUAAUUAGUGAUGCGCAUGAACCGAUCAACGAGAUUCCCACUGCUCGUAUCUACUACCUAGCGAAACCUCAGCCGAGGAAAGUAUUUGA
rnacentral:ncRNA from 1 species